rnacentral:rRNA from 1 species
UACGUAGGCAGCGAGCGUUGUUCGGAGUUACUGGGCGUAAAGCGUGCGUAGGCGGUGGCCCAAGUCUGGUGUGAAAUCUCCCGGCUUAACCGGGAGGGUGCGCCGGAAACUGGGUCGCUGGAGUACUGGAGAGGCAGGCGGAAUUCCUGGUGUAGCGGUGAAAUGCGUAGAUAUCAGGAGGAACACCCGUGGUGCAGACGGCCUGCUGGACAGUCACUGACGCUGAGGCACGAAAGCGUGGGGAGCAAACAGGAUUAGAAACCCCCGUAGUCC